GGCGGGAGUGGCCGCGGUGGUGGCGGUGCAAGAGAGCUGAGGGAGGCGCGAGGGCGCGGAGUUCCAGGCCGAGCAGUUAGGCCGCGAGCGACUGCGGCGCCGAGCCGAGACAAGGUCUCCCUAUAUUGCUCAGCUGGUCUCGAACUCCUGGGCUCAAACGAUCCUCCUGCUUCAGCUUCCCAAAGUGCUGAGAUUACAGGCAGGAGCCACUGCAUAGCCUCGUGAUGAAAUCUUGAGCCAUCCCACUCUGUCCCGCCCGGGACGUGAAUCACCUUUCUUACCCCACAUAUCCAUGGUGUAUGUGCUACCCAUCUGUGGCUACUCAGUAGCUUUCUCGGUUCUCACAUCUACUGUUGCGGUAUCACAGUGCUUAUGUUCAG
rnacentral:sRNA from 1 species